CAAUAGCAUAUAUUAAAGUUGUUGCAGUUAAAAAGCUCGUAGUUGGAUUUCUGGCAUGAUGCGCCUGGCCCGCCGUGAUUACGCGUGUGUGUGCUAGUGCGCGUCUGCCAUCCAUUGGCAGAAUAUGUCUACCCUUAAUUGGGCCGGAUAUGUGAUGUCAAUCUUUUACUUUGAAAAAUUAGAGUGUUUAAAGCAGGCAUUUGCUAUGAAUACAUUAGCAUGGAAUAAUAAUCUAGGACUUCGGUUCGUAUUUUGUUUGGUUUCUUAGAUCUGGAGGUAAUGAUUGUAUAGGGAGUAGUUGGGGGUUGGCUAGUAUUAAGGGGUACCGACGAGGU
rnacentral:rRNA from 1 species